UACGGAGGGGGCUAGCGUUGUUCGGAAUUACUGGGCGUAAAGCGCACGUAGGCGGCGAUUUAAGUCAGAGGUGAAAGCCCGGGGCUCAACCCCGGAAUAGCCUUUGAGACUGGAUUGCUAGAAUCUUGGAGAGGCGAGUGGAAUUCCGAGUGUAGAGGUGAAAUUCGUAGAUAUUCGGAAGAACACCAGUGGCGAAGGCGGCUCGCUGGACAAGUAUUGACGCUGAGGUGCGAAAGCGUGGGGAGCAAACAG
rnacentral:rRNA from 1 species